rnacentral:rRNA from 1 species
AUUGAACGCUGGCGGCAUGCCUUACACAUGCAAGUCGAACGGCAGCACGGGAGCAAUCCUGGUGGCGAGUGGCGAACGGGUGAGUAAUAUAUCGGAACGUGCCCAGUCGUGGGGAUAACGUAGCGAAAGCUACGCUAAUACCGCAUACGAUCUAUGGAUGAAAGCGGGGGAUCGCAAGACCUCGCGCGAUUGGAGCGGCCGAUAUCAGAUUAGGUAGUUGGUGAGGUAAAGGCUCACCAAGCCGACGAUCUGUAGCUGGUCUGAGAGGACGACCAGCCACACUGGGACUGAGACACGGCCCAGACUCCUACGGGAGGCAGCAGUGGGAAUUUUGGACAAUGGGCGGCAAGGCCCUGAUCCAGCAAUGCCGCGUGCAGGAUGAAGGCCUCGGUUGUAA